rnacentral:rRNA from 1 species
AACGAACGCUGGCGGCAGGCCUAACACAUGCAAGUCGAGCGAGGACUUCGGUCCUAGCGGCGGACGGGUGAGUAACGCGUGGGAACGUGCCCCUUGGUACGGAAUAGCCCCGGGAAACUGGGAGUAAUACCGUAUGAGCCCUACGGAGGAAAGAUUUAUCGCCAAGGGAUCGGCCCGCGUUGGAUUAGGUAGUUGGUGGGGUAAUGGCCUACCAAGCCGACGAUCCAUAGCUGGUUUGAGAGGAUGAUCAGCCACACUGGGACUGAGACACGGCCCAGACUCCUACGGGAGGCAGCAGUGGGGAAUCUUAGACAAUGGGCGCAAGCCUGAUCUAGCCAUGCCGCGUGAGCGAUGAAGGCCUUAGGGUUGUAAAGCUCUUUCAGCGAGGAAGAUAAUGACUGUACUCGCAGAAGAAGCCCCGGCUAACUCCGUGCCAGCCGCCGCAGUAAGAC